GACGAACGCUGGCGGCGUGCUUAACACAUGCAAGUCGAGCGGAAAGGCCCUUCGGGGUACUCGAGCGGCGAACGGGUGAGUAACACGUGAGUAAUCUGCCCUUGGCUUCGGGAUAGCCACCGGAAACGGUGAUUAAUACCGGAUAUGACCACUCCUGGCAUCAGGUGGUGGUGGAAAGUUUUUCGGCCAGGGAUGUGCUCGCGGCCUAUCAGCUUGAUGGUGAGGUAAUGGCUCACCAUGGCUUCGACGGGUAGCCGGCCUGAGAGGGUGACCGGUCACACUGGGACUGAGACACGGCCCAGACUCCUACGGGAGGCAGCAGUGGGGAAUAUUGGACAAUGGGCGGAAGCCUGAUCCAGCAACGCCGCGUGAGGGAUGACGGCCUUCGGGUUGUAAACCUCUUUCAGCAGGGACGAAGCGCAAGUGACGGUACCUGCAGAAGAAGCACCGGCCAACUACGUGCCAGCAGCCGCAGUAAGAC
rnacentral:rRNA from 1 species